GCCAGGUGCAGUGGUGCGCACCUGUAAUCCCAGUUACUCAGGAGGCUGAGGCAGGAGAAUGGCUUGAACCUGGGAGGUGGAGGUUGCAGGGAACUGAGAUCGAACCACUGCACGCCAGUCGGGGCGACUGAGCGAGACUCUGUCCCCCCCAAAAAAAAAUCCAUCAUCUUUCACUCUUUUUCUUUUCUUUUUUUUUCCUGAGAUGGAGUCUCGCUCUGUUGCCCAUGCUGGAGUGCAGUGGUGCAAUCUCAGCUCACUGCAACCUCUGCCUCCCGGGUUCAAGUGAUUCUCCUGCCUCAG
rfam:Gorilla gorilla gorilla genomic chromosome, chr6, whole genome shotgun sequence